UACGUAGGUGGCGAGCGUUGUCCGGAUUUACUGGGCGUAAAGGGAGCGUAGGCGGAUUUUUAAGUGAGAUGUGAAAUACUCGGGCUCAACUUGAGUGCUGCAUUUCAAACUGGAAGUCUAGAGUGCAGGAGAGGAGAAUGGAAUUCCUAGUGUAGCGGUGAAAUGCGUAGAGAUUAGGAAGAACACUAGUGGCGAAGGCGAUUCUCUGGACUGUAACUGUCGCUGAGGCUCGAAAGCGUGGGGAGCAAACAGG
rnacentral:rRNA from 1 species